CAUCAUGUGGAACAUUACCUGGUUCUUUCUUUCAUUAUUGAUGAUACACUCCUUGAUCGCUAGCUUUGCAAUGAAUUUAAGGAACCUCACCACAGAUCAAGCUGCGGUUCUUGAAUUCAAGAACCGUAUAUCUGAUCCUCACAAAAUCUUGGCAAAAAAUUGGUCUGCCUCUACUUCUGUUUGCAACUGGAUUGGGAUUUCUUGUGAUGGUUACCACACAAGAGUCAAAGGCUUGAAUCUUCCGAACAUGGGUCUUUCAGGGACCAUCUCUCCACACCUCGGAAACCUCUCUUUCCUAGCCUCUCUUAACUUGAGCGGCAACAAUUUCCAUGGACAUCUACCUGAACAGUUGGGGCAGUUAACUCGGCUGAAGCACAUUGAUUUAAGCUACAAUACACUUGAUGGGGAACUUCCAUCAUGGCCUUGGAACCUUGCAAAGGGUCAAGUUGUUGGUCCUUGGCAACAACCGUUUCACAGGUACAAUUCCUCGUACUUUCCUCAACAUGUCAAGCUUGGAGACUUUAGAAUUAAGCAGCAAUUCGAUAGAGGGAAACAUUCCAGACAUGACGGGAAAUCUUCAAAUUUUGAAGAUAUUUAAUAUCACAAACAACCAAUUCGUUGGUUCCAUACCUUCAUCCAUCUACAACAUUUCAUCACUGCGAGUCAUCCAUCUAGCUUUUAACAAACUGUCUGGAAGUUUACCUGAUCAUCUUUGCGACAGCCUUCCCAAUCUCCAGCAAUUUCACUUGCAUCAUAAUGAGGUUUCUGGCCUUAUCCCGUCAAGCUUAGGAAAAUGCAGCGAGCUUCAAAUUUUAUCAUUGUCUUCUAAUCAAUUUAAUGGGCUCAUUCCGAGAAGUAUUGGAAAUUUAACUAGGCUCAAAAAACUUUAUUUGUGGAGAAAUAAUAUACAAGGUACGAUCCCACGGGAGGUCGGUAAUCUUGUUAGAUUGCAGAUCUUUGACGCGCGAGGACUGUACCUCACUGGAAUCAUUCCGCCGUCUAUCUUCAACAUUUCUUCUUUGCAAGAAAUUAUGCUCGCUCAGAACACUCUAUUUGGUGAAAUACCACAUGAAAUUGGAAACCUUCAUAGAUUGGAGAUAUUAGGUCUUGAAUUCAACAACCUAAGUGGUAGCAUACCAUCAACAAUCUUCAAUCUCUCAACCAUAAGAGAAAUUGAGUUACUAGCCAACUAUUUUUACGGCCAACUUCCCUCUGAUAUUGGCCAUAGGGUUCCAAAUCUUGAGAAGCUCGAGCUAUGGGGAAAUAAUCUGAGUGGAGUCAUACCCAGCUCUAUUUCGAAUGCUUCAAACCUUCGAUACUUGUCAUUGGAAAUAAACUCAUUUCGCGGUCUUAUCCCUCAUGAACUUGGCAAUUUACGACUCCUUCAGUGGCUUUCUCUUUUCUCAAAUCAUUUCACGGCUGAACCUUCCAGUCAGGAGUGGAGCUUUCUCUCUUCUUUGGCAAAUUGCAGGUAUCUAACACAUCUUGACUUGUCGGAUAAUCCUUUGAAUCGUGUUCUUCCAACUUCUAUUGGAAAUCUCUCUACAUCUCUUCAAUUAUUUUAUGCGGAAUCUUGCAACAUUAAUGGCAAUAGUAUUCCUGAGGAAAUUGGUAACUUAAGCAGCAUUGUGGUGUUAUCCCUAGCCAACAAUGAGUUCUCUGGAUCCAUUCCAAAAACAAUAAGAAGGUUAAAGAAUCUCCAAGGUUUGUAUCUUAAUGGAAAUAAACUAGAGGGAUCGAUCCCAGACAGUAUAUGUAGUUUAAAGAGAUUGGAUAUUUUAUCCAUAGAAUAUAAUGUGCUCCAAGGAUCGAUACCCAAAUGUUUGGCUAAUAUGACUUCUCUUAGUACUCUCAACUUGUCCUCCAACAAUCUGAGUUCUAGCAUACCCUUAACCUUUUGGAGCUUUCAGAAUAUCUUGCAGAUUGACUUAUCCUCAAAUUCUCUUAGUAAUUCUGUUCCCUCAGAUAUCGCUAACCUGAAAGUACUGAUUGACUUGGACUUGUCAAAUAAUCUGUUAUCUGGUGAGAUUCCAACAACAAUUCAAGAGCUCAAAAAUCUACAACUUCUGUCUUUAUCCAAAAACAAAUUUCAAGGCCGUAUUCCUGAAUCUAUUGGUGGUUUGAUAAGUUUAGAAUCCUUGGAUCUUUCCAGUAAUAAUCUUUCCGGGGUGAUUCCCUCAUCUUUGGUGAAACUUUCCCAUCUCAAAUAUUUUAAUGUUUCUUUCAAUAGAUUAGAAGGAGAAAUUCCUACUGGGGGACCUUUUGGAAACUUCUCGGCUCAAUCAUUCAUGAACAAUUAUGCACUAUGUGGUUUACCUCGAUUGCAAGUCCUACCAUGCAAAUCUAAUGUUGUUCAGCAGUCCAAGAAGACAGCAAUGAUUAUAUUGAAAUUUGUUUUGCCAACAGUUGCUUUUUUGAUGUUGAUAAUGGCAAUCAUCAUUUUCUUUAAAAAAUACCAGCAUAGGAGUGGUGAUCUACCAGGUCGCGAGGCUUUGUUUCCUGUGGCAACAUUGAGAAGAAUUCCUCGUGAAGAACUUUGGCGUGCAACUGAUGGAUUUAAUGAAAGCAAUUUACUUGGUUCGGGAAGUUUUGGUUCUGUAUAUAAAGGAAUUCUUUCAGAUGGGAUUAAUGUUGCAAUAAAAGUUUUUCAACUUGCAAUUAGAGGGAGCGGAUGAGAGAUUUUUCGCAGAGUGUGAAGUGAUGCGCAAUAUCCGACAUCGUAAUCUUGUCAAAAUCAUUACUGGUUGCUAUAAUGUUGACUUCAAAGCCUUGGUGCUUCAGUUUAUGCCAAAGGGGAGCCUUGAGAAGUGGUUGUAUUCUCAUAACUAUUUUCUCAAUGUCAUCCAAAGAUUGGAUAUAAUGAUAGAUGUGGGCAUUGGCACUAGAAUACCUCCAUUAUGGUCUCCCAACACCUGUGAUCCAUUGUGACAUAAAGCCAAGUAAUGUUCUACUGGAUGAAGACAUGGUAGCACACAUCGGUGAUUUUGGCAUUUCCAAACUUUUAGGAGGAGAUUCCAUGACACAAACGAUGACACUUGCCACUAUUGGAUACAUGGCACCAGAAUUCGGGUCAAUGGGAAUUGUUUCUAUGAAAGGCGAUGUUUAUAGUUAUGGUAUUUUACUAAUAGAAACUUUCACAAGAAAGAAGCCUAGUGAUGAAAUAUUUGCUGGAGAAACAAGCUUAAAACAUUGGGUGAAAGAAUCAUUGUCUCGUGAAAUAGUUGCUGUUGUGGAUGACAAUUUAUUGAAAAGAGAGGAUCAACAAUUCAUUGCUAAAGUAAAUUGUAUAUCAUCUAUUAUGGAAUUAGCUUUGGAAUGUUCAACAGAGUUGCCCGAGGAAAGGAAAAACAUGAAAGAUGUGGUAGCCAUGCUAAAGAAGAUCAAGAUAAAGUUUCUAAAGGAUGUAAGGCGAGCUUAAUAUUGUAAAGAAUAUACUUUUAUAUAGUUCUAUAUAUAGUUUGAGCUAUAGACUGUCAAAUAUUUAAAAAGAACAUGCUAUUUACUUGGAGGGUCAAGCAUAUCACUAAAUGCUUCUUAAUUUUUGAUGGUCGGUAAUUGGUGAGAAAAAAAUUUCUCCAUCAUAUCGUUUUGACAUUGGAUCCUAGGCCUUAGACAAUGAAUUUUAUCUUUCAAUUUUAAUUUCUUCGUUCGUAUUACCUUUCUAAGAUUGUUUCUUGUUAUACAUAAAUACAUCUAUAUACAUACAUAUUAGAACUCAAAAACACGAGUUUGUAUUCAUUGAAGAGGGCAGUGGUUGCUUAGUAUUACCAAAUGAAUUAUAAACUUGA